CGUCACUGCCUUGUUGCUACUGGGGAGAAGGAGACCGGGAUGGGUAAGUAGGAGGGGUUUCUGCCACCGUUGAAGCUCAAUUGCCGUUGUUGUCAUGGCCGCCGCGCCUUUGGCUGCCGGGAGCAGUAUCGUGGCCGCCAGAACCAGUCUUUCUUGGGUUGAGUCCCGGUAUUUGCGCGUCGGAAUUAAAGCUGCUGUUGGGCCACCGGAGCUUCUGGCCGCUCACGGAUCUUUUGUCGGGGCAAUUCGAAGUGGUAGCUGCUUCGCUUGUUAGUAUAGUAAGUAUUUCACGUUUCGAAAACCCCUGCUUUAGCGUUCGGUUAUGUUUGGCUAAAGACAUUGAGGCUUGGUAAUGUAGGUUUGAGUUCUGGUGAUUUUGUGUCGCAUAAGUGUUGCGGAGGCUGCCGUGUCAUUCCUUUUAUUUCAGAAGUAGUAGCUGAGCUUAUACGUGGCGCUGAGGCUGUUUCUUAUAUUGAGAAAAAAACACGCGGAGUUGGGAUUUUGAUUGUGAUUUCAAGCUGAGGCGAAAAGGACUCUGAGAGACAUUUGGGUUAUAGAAUUGCAAUCUGUGUUUGCAUCUGGGACUUUGUUGGAUUGUGGUGAUUGGUUGAUGGUUGGAUUGAUUGGGCCUAGAGCCGUGGUUGGAAUGGGAUGAAUCGAUGGUUGAUCUCGGUUUUGUGUUUCUGGUUUGGAAUAAAAUAUGAAAGGCUAUUUUGGUUCAGCAUAGAUAAAUCUUUUUGAAAAGCUUUUGGUGUUUUUGAGAAUUGAACGG